rnacentral:lncRNA from 1 species
CAUAUAGAGCUCAGCAAGUGACUAACAUAUCCAUGUCAAAAGAGGACAAUUUCCAAAGAGAUAAAGUUUCAAAAUACAAGGCAGAAUAUAAGAAUUCAUAGACGUAAUAUCAUUAGGUGCAGAAUCACAAUUGUCAUUUCAAUCAAACAUAUUUGGUUCAUAACAGAGGGGGCAUAGAGUAAUUGGAGCAUAUCAACCACGAAUGAAACGUUUCGGAGCAUAUCAAUAACAAAUGAAACAUUUCGGAGCUUAUCAAUG